ACACAAUUAUGUCGUUUCAUCAUCGCAGCAGAGCAGACUGUGUUUGUUUGAUGCAGUAUGUUUCUUUUUGAUGUAAUGUAUUUUACUUUAGGAUGAGCUACUGGGGUUGUGCCUUAAUUAAUUUAUUUUAUUUAUUUUUUAUAAUCCUAGCAGUUUUGUGAUCAUGACGUGUUGGCUACGCAAUACAGGAUAAGCUUGCAGGUAGAUUUGAUAACUUGAGUAAAUAGGACAAAUAAAACUAAGGCGUAAUGAUUAAUUGAUUUUCUUUUGCAACCUCUCCGAAGCAGUCAGUCAAAUCGUGCUUCUGUCGUGCAGCAACUUUAAAGGGAAUUUUAAAGAGCUUAUUUUCCCUGGGAAAACGCUAUUGUUCGUCCUGAAACAAUAGAAGCUGCAGGCAACCGCAGUGAGGCGGUAUGAAUGGCGAAGCUGUGGGUCAGUGCAUUGGGUCUCAGGCCCCAAAGCCCCCUUUCCCGUGCACCACAAUGACCCUGCGCGAGAACGAGGCUCCGCGGGGUCAGAGGGCAUCACCUAUUGUUCUGCACUUCAAAACAUAUAAACAUUAAUUAAUCAAGGCUGGCCAUGUUUCUCAGGGAAAAAGAAAAAGUAGGGUAUGUUGUACCUACGAGUGCUAUAGGCCAGAAGGACUUCUGAUGUUGUAAAUGAAUGUGUUAGAAAUCAACGGCGUCAGUGAUUACGUUCUAUCUUUUCCUGGAUGAAAGGACAUCAAACAUUCGCUCUGAACCAAGGUUAAGCAGCAGAAAAGUCCUGCUGAUUAGCAGUGCAGGUUCACUGGUGUAAAUGAGGAAUCUCUGAUCCUGCUUGAGUCUAUAAUCUGCUUGCAUGUUUACUGGCUAAAAGCAGGCGUGAUGCUGCCGUGACCCAGGCUGAUCCAGAUCCUCGGAGCAUCUUUUCCUAUCUUUCCUUCCCUUUUUCUGUGCGGCAACACAGCCUGUUAUUUCAAGGAAAGUGCAACCUUUGCCUUGGGCUUUAAUUAUGUUCAAUUUGCCAAGCCGAGCCUGAAAAAUUGAGAGGGUGAAAAAGCUCUAUGACCUAUUUAUUAAUGCUGCGUUGAGUCUGAAGCUGCACUGAGAUCAGCACUGCAUCACUCAACAAUAACAGGCGUCUCUGGAGAACACGCUCUUCUCCACUGCAGGAAUUCACUGCUCUAUUAUACACCGCCGGACACUUCAUUGACUUGAGCAGCACUGAAGUAAAUGACAUUAGUUUUGUAGCUGAGUGUGAGCGGGAUCUGCUGUGUGUUUUUGGAAAUGGAUGUUAAAAGGACAGAAGUAUGUCUAAUCAAAUAAAACCUAAUUAUGUAUAUUAUAUAGACGGGAUGUAGCCUAUUUAUAAUUAGAUAUGUGUGUAUUAAAUAGAGUUUAUAUUAUUUUUAGAUAGUCAUAUCACCGUAUUUAAGUUUUUUUUUUAUCUUAUGAUGUGAAUUAGUUUAUUGUGUUUUGUUUUUGUUUCUUGUACAAUUUCAGUGAGUCUACAAUAAAAAUCUCCCCUCCUC